UGCAGUAUGUGAGCAACUAUAGAAAAGACCAAGGUCAAUUUCAGAACAUAUACCACCCCAACAACAGAAAUCAUCCAAAUUUUAGUUGGUCAAAUAAUCAAGGGAAUCAGCAGACUCAAUUUCAAUCAAAUAAUCAAUUUUAGCCGCAGCCAGCACAACCGCAGUUUAAUCCUAUUCCACCCUUUCCUCCAGGAUUUUCUCAACAUCAACAACAACAUCA
rnacentral:lncRNA from 1 species